UUUGUUGCAACCAGAAGCAACCUCAAGACUGAUGAAAUCGAGUCGAAGAAUUACGUUCCAUUUGUUAAUUACUAUCUCUUGCGAUAGUCGAUGUUGAGAUCACAAAAAGCAGAAAAAUGCUUUCUUACUCUAUGUAUUUCCUUUGAUCUCGUCUUUUAACUUUUGAUCGUUUAAGAUCAUAUUUGAAAGUUCGAUCUUGAAUAAGAAAACAUAGUAAGUAUCCGUAUAAAUAUGUACAUAUUACGUAAGUAUAUACCAGUCAUCAUUACUGCAUUUGUUAGAUAAAAAGGUUUAUCUUAUUGUUUCCUUUUCUUUUUUCGAUGCGAGCUUCUGAAGCCGAUAGUUAAAAGAGAGAAAGUGAGAAAGAGAAAGAGAAAGAGAGAGAGAGAGAGGGAGAAAUAGAGAUAAAGAGAGAGGCACAAGGUGGUAGUCGACAGAGUCAAGAAAUGAGAUGGAAAAAUUAAUUCGAGGAAGAGAAUGAAUGCGUAGUUAAAAAAAAAAGAAAAAAAAAGAAAGGAGAAGAAAAGAAACAAAAAAAAACCAACCUCGAAGCGACAAUACAUAAGUACGUAUGUAUACGUGUAAAUCUCUUUGGAAGAUCUCAUCGUAAAUUCGUGUGACAUGUCUGAACAGUUUAUUCGGCCGAAACAUGUCAAGCAUGCAAGAGCCCAUUCCACCCAGAAUGUUAGAGGAACUGCGAGAGAUUCUUGCCGGGUCUUAUCACGCGAAGUGUAAUUUACACGACUUUCCCACGAAACUGAAGAAAGAACCAACUCACAAACGCGAGCCUAACGAUUUGCGGUCAAGAGGGCAGACCUAUUUACAAAGGAUAAUUCGCCAACGAAUUAACCCCUUACCGUACGCAUUACUUUCUCGGAUUCUCCGAAUGCCUAUCUUUUUACGACGACGACGACGAUGAUUAUGACGAUGGCGAUGAGGACGCUCGUCGUACGCCGUUCUGACAUUUUCUUAUGUGAAUGCCUCACGUAAAAAUCUCUGGGUUAAGAGACGGAUCUUUAUGGAUCGAGAUUUCGAGAAUUUGACUCGCCUGUUUUUAUUAUUUCUUUUAUAUUUUAUAUCAAGUUGGGUGAGGAUAAGGAUGGGUGGUUAAUACACAGACGUGAACGAUC